GCUGCCAUCUGGAUUCUGUGGGGCAAUAGAAACUGACGCCACUAGAGGCCCCCAGAAUUCUGGGGGCCUCCAACGGCCUAAAUUGCUAUUACCCCCCAGAAUUCUGGGGGGCAAUAGAUUUUACCUUAUUGUUACAUACUAUUCUCGUUCAACAGCUGAACCCUUGGUUUAUUCCACACGAUGGGCAAUUGUGAAGCAAUUGUCAAGCCCAUCUUUUUUUCUACUUCUUGCAUGGUACUGAAACUUCGGUAUGACUGGUCCUUUUCUGGGCUCACUGAGUACUCAGUGUUCUGAUAGGAAGGCAUGGUUUCUUAACGAGCAACACUUGUUUGGCAUUUUGUUUGGAUGUUGUCUUGGUGUAUGUGAAGCCUGCGACUAUUUCUUUUCUGACAGAAGACUAAUAAAGGUGUCACAUGUUCAGCUAACAAUCAAGGUGGCUGUCUGAUCCAGCAUUGCUCUGCUCAUCAAGAAAUCCCUGGGUGUAGCUCUCAAAGAUACUGUGUGUGCAAUUUUUUCAAUUAUGUUCGCACUGCAGUGUUGCACUGUUCGUAUGCAUCCUCAUCGGGUCAGCUUGUGUUUUUACCAUCAGACUGUGCGAUUUAUUUUUUCAGUCGUAUGAAAUCAAUCCCCAGCAAUCACCUGUGGGAUCACCUCUUAUCAAUCAGCAACAGCCGCAGUUUUCGAACAUUUAUUCUAAAAAUGGACAGCAUGCACAAUCAGGUGAGGUGAUUCCCCAACAGCAUUAUUUCCAGCAGAUCACGGAAGAUAAUUCAAACGUUAUCACAAAUAAUGCCAAUCCUCACUUGAAACAGCAGCAGCAACAUCAGACAGCCGAUAACUAUUUUUCUCCGAGUCAAGUCCACAAUAAUACCUUUACUCAGCAGCAUGAAAGAUGAAAUCCCCGCAUGCCAGUUGCCGGGCAAUAUUCAAGGAGUCCAAGUGUUACAGCAACAACAGCUACAGUUGUAGGCACUGUAACUGCUGGAGGUGUUAGCUACCUCCAAUGGAUGGUAAGCAACCCACCCGAAGAUUGAUAUGACGAUGAUGCGGUUAACACUAAACAUCUAUCAACACAUACUUCAUCUUCCUCGGCACUUUGGGUGAGUAUUUAAUGUUAACGCCAGAGGUUCGUCUUC